rnacentral:rRNA from 1 species
UCCCCCAAGAGUCCACAUCGACGGGGAGGUUUGGCACCUCGAUGUCGGCUCAUCGCAUCCUGGGGCUGUAGUCGGUCCCAAGGGUUGGGCUGUUCGCCCAUUAAAGCGGUACGCGAGCUGGGUUCAGAACGUCGUGAGACAGUUCGGUCCCUAUCCGUCGUGGGCGUAGGAAAUUUGAGAGGAGCUGUCCUUAGUACGAGAGGACCGGGAUGGACGCACCGCUGGUGUACCAGUUGUUCUGCCAAGGGCAUAGCUGGGUAGCUAUGUGCGGAAGGGAUAAGUGCUGAAAGCAUCUAAGCAUGAAGCCCCCCUCAAGAUGAGAUUUCCCAUAGCGUAAGCUAGUAAGAUCCCUGAAAGAUGAUCAGGUUGAUAGGUUCGAGGUGGAAGCAUGGUGACAUGUGGAGCUGACGAAUACUAAUAGAUCGAGGACUUAACCAUAUAA